rnacentral:lncRNA from 1 species
GCCGCCGCAGCCUCCACCUGCACCUCCACCUCCACCUCCAUCCAUAGCCAUAUCAACCCAACUCAAAUUGUAAUUCACAAGACUGGAUUAUUAGAAACUCGUGGGGUGAAUACUGGGGAGAAAAGGGCUACGUCAGGAUGCAGCUUAAUCUGGCUGCCAAAUCCGGUCUAUGUGGAAUAGCCAUGGAGCCAUCGUACCCAAUCGAGAUUGGCAAAAAUCCACAAACCUGAGUACAUCUGAAAAAACUCUGAAACUGCCACAAUUGAGAAUCAUAUUUUCCUUUUCCAUUUUACACAGGAAGAAGAAAGAAUCAGUAAAGCUCACUACUUUUGGAGCAAAUAAGAAAACAAAAAGUGACACAAAAGCUGAACUCAAAAGGGAAAAAGGUGACAGAAGAGAGUUA